ACCCCAGGAUAUUAAGCCGGCAGCUGCUUCGAAUCCCACGAGCGCCUGUGACUAUGAUUGGGAACAGUAAUGCUUCUGAUGUGUGUAUGUUAGGCAACGUUUCCUGCGGGCUUAACAAAGAAAUUUCAGUCGACA